rnacentral:rRNA from 1 species
UACGUAGGGUGCAAGCGUUGUCCGGAAUUAUUGGGCGUAAAGAGCUUGUAGGCGGUUUGUCGCGUCUGCCGUGAAAUUUCGGGGCUCAACCCCGAACUUGCGGUGGGUACGGGCAGACUAGAGUGUGGUAGGGGAGACUGGAAUUCCUGGUGUAGCGGUGAAAUGCGCAGAUAUCAGGAGGAACACCGAUGGCGAAGGCAGGUCUCUGGGCCACUACUGACGCUGAGAAGCGAAAGCAUGGGGAGCGAACAGG